rnacentral:siRNA from 1 species
ACUAGUAUGAGGUCUUUUGGGA